rnacentral:rRNA from 1 species
GUCCACGCAGUAAACGAUGAUUACUAGGAGUUUGCGAUAAAAUGUAAGCUCUACAGCGAAAGCGUUAAGUAAUCCACCUGGGGAGUACGCCGGCAACGGUGAAACUCAAAGGAAUUGACGGGGGCCCGCACAAGCGGAGGAACAUGUGGUUUAAUUCGAUGAUACGCGAGGAACCUUACCCGGGUUUGAACGCACAGCGACAAAUCAGGAAACUGAUUUUCUAGCAAUAGCGAUGUGCGAGGUGCUGCAUGGUUGUCGU